GGGCCCGCACAAGCAGUGGAGUAUGUGGUUUAAUUCGAAGCAACGCGAAGAACCUUACCAGGUCUUGACAUCGUGCGCAUACCAUAGAGAUAUGGGAAGCCCUUCGGGGCGCAUAGACAGGUGGUGCAUGGUUGUCGUCAGCUCGUGUCGUGAGAUGUUGGGUUAAGUCCCGCAACGAGCGCAACCCUUAUUACUAGUUGCUACGCAAGAGCACUCUAGUGAGACUGCCGUUGACAAAACGGAGGAAGGUGGGGAUGACGUCAAAUCAUCAUGCCCCUUAUGACCUGGGCUACACACGUACUACAAUGGCACUUAAACAGAGGGCUGCUACACCGCGAGGUGAAGCGAAUCCCGAAAAAGUGUCUCAGUUCGGAUUGCAGGCUGCAACUCGCCUGCAUGAAGUCGGAAUUGCUAGUAAUCGCGGAUCAGCAUGCCGCGGUGAAUACGUUCCCGGGCCUU
rnacentral:rRNA from 1 species